rnacentral:rRNA from 1 species
CCUACGGGCGGCAGCAGUGAGGAAUAUUGCACAAUGGGCGCAGGCCUGAUGCAGCAACGCCGCGUGAGCGAUGACGGCCUUCGGGUCGUAAAGCUCUGUCCUCAAGGAAGAUAAUGGCGGUACUUGAGGAGGAAGCCCCGGCUAACUACGUGCCAGCAGCCGCGGUAAUACGUAGGGGGCUAGCGUUAUCCGGAUUUACUGGGCGUAAAGGGUGCGUAGGUGGUUUCUUAAGUCAGAGGUGAAAGGCUACGGCUCAACCGUAGUAAGCCGUUGAAACUGGUGAACUUGAGUGCAGGAGGGGAGAGUGGAAUGCCUAGUGUAGCGGUGAAAUGCGUAGAGAUCAGGAGGAACACCAGUUGUGAAGGCGGCGCUCUGGACUGUAACUGACACUGAGGCACGAAAGCGUGGGGAGCAAACAGGAUUAGAUACCCGUGUAGUC